CCCUGUGCAUUCGCCAUUAAACAAAUGAUAUGGGAGGAAGUCAGAGAGUCUGUUAGCGGUUUGAUAAAGCAUCGUCCCGGUACUUCUGCUGCUGCUAAGGACUACCCCCUCCAGUGACUGUGAGAUACUUUCGGGUCUGGAGGAAGAAGGAAAUGGGUCUUCGGAAGACGAGGCUGCAGGGAGACCACUUUUUCAUGUGGAGAACAUUAGCUCCCUAGUAAAGGUGGUUAGGGCUACAAUGGAGUUGUAGGAUCAGA